rnacentral:snoRNA from 1 species
ACCCUCUCAGGGUCACAUCUGGAGAGCUUCCAGUACUCUACCAGUGUCGACUAUGGGAAGGAGAGUCAAGCAGAGGCCUACCCAUUCCAUUCCUAGCUUGGCCAGUGGCUAACAAGUGGAAGGCAAUCUGCUACAAGU